ACAAACACCAGUUCCCAUACAAUCACUGAAGUUAAGCAAUGUUGUGCCUGGUCAGUACCUAGAAAAGUGACAGCUUGGGAAUACCAGGUGCUGUAAG